rnacentral:rRNA from 1 species
CCUACGGGAGACUGCAGUGAGGAAUAUUGGUCAAUGGUCGGGAGACUGAACCAGCCAAGCCGCGUGAGGGAUGAAGGUACAGAGUAUCGUAAACCUCUUUUGUCAGGGAACAAAGGCGGGGACGUGUCCCCGGAUGAGUGUACCUGAAGAAAAAGCAUCGGCUAACUCCGUGCCAGCAGCCGCGGUAAUACGGGGGAUGCGAGCGUUAUCCGGAUUUAUGGGGUUUAAGGGGUGCGCAGGCGGUCUGUUAAGUCAGCGGUCAAAGCCCGGGGCACAACCCGGGCCCGCCGUUGAAACUGGCAGUCUCGAGUUGGAGAGAAGUAUGCGGAAUGCGCGGUGUAGCGGUGAAAUGCAUAGAUAUCGCGCAGAACUCCGAUUGCGAAGGCAGCAUGCCGGCUCCACACUGACGCUGAGGCACGAAAGCGUGGGUAUCGAACAGGAUUAGAUACCCGUGUAGUC